rnacentral:pre_miRNA from 1 species
CCCCUCAAUCGCUCAGUAGUCAGUGUAGAUCCUGUAUUCUAAUCAGCAGCUACAUCUGGCUACUGGGUCUCUGAGGGUACCU